GUGUCAGCAGCCGCGGUAAGACGAACCGAGCGAACGUUGUUCGGAAUCACUGGGCUUAAAGGGCGCGUAGGCGGCUUACCAAGUCAGGGGUGAAAUUUUGCGGCUUAACCGUAACAGUGCCUUUGAUACUGGUAGGCUCGAGGGAGAUAGGGGUCUGCGGAACUUCUGGUGGAGCGGUGAAAUGCGUUGAUAUCAGAAGGAACGCCGGUGGCGAAAGCGGCAGACUGGAUCUCUUCUGACGCUGAGGCGCGAAAGCUAGGGGAGCAAACGGGAUUAGAAACCCCCGUAGUCC
rnacentral:rRNA from 1 species